rnacentral:rRNA from 1 species
CUUGGUUGAUCUAGCCAAUAUUCAUAUGCUUGUUUCAAAGAUUAAGCCAUGCAUGUGUAAGUAUGAACAAAUUCAGACUAUGAAACUGUGAAUGGCUCACUAAAUCAGUUAUAGUUUGUUUGAUGCCAUUUUUCUACUCAUAUAACUAUAGUAGUUCUAGACGAACCCCGACUUCUAGAAGGGAUGCAUUUAUUGAAUAAAAGGUCGACGCGGGCUCUGCCUGUUGCUAUGAUGAUUCAUGAUAAUUUGACGGAUCAAACGGCCAUAGUAUCAACGAUGCAUCAUUUAAAUUUUUGCCCUAUCAUCUUUUGAUGGUAGGAUAGUGUCCUGCCAUGGUGGUGAUGGGUGAUGGAGAAUUAGUUUUUGAUUACGAAGAGGGAGCCUGAGAAAUGGCUACUACAUCCAAGGAAGGUAGCAAGCACGCAAAUUACCCAAUCUUGACACGGGGAGAUAGUGAAAAUCAAUAACAAUACAGGGCUCAAUGAGUCCGGUAAUUGGAAUGAGUACAUUCAAAAUCCCUUAACGAGGAUCCAUUGGAGGGAAAUUCUAGUGCCAACGGCCUUGGUAAUUCCAGCUCUAAUAACGUAUAUUUAAGUUGUGGUUAAAAAGCUCAUAGUUAUACUUUGGGAUGGGUUGGACAGUCCGCCUAUGGUGUGCACCAGUUGUCUCAUCUCUCUUGUUGGUGAUGCGCUCCUCGACUUAGCUAUCCGGGUUAUGCCUCCGACGUUGUUACUUUGAAGAAAUUAGAGUGGAAAAAGCAAGACUACGCUCUGUAUACAUUAGCGUGGAUAACAUUAUAGGAUUUUGAUCCUAUUACGUUGGCCUUCGGGAUCGGGGAAAUGAUUAAUCGGGAUAGUUGGGGGCAUUCAUAUUUCAUAGUCAGAGUAAAAUUCUUGGAUUUAUGAAUGACGAAAAACUAUGAAAGCAUUUGCUAAGGAUGUUCUCAUUAACUAAGAACAAAAGUUGGGGGCUCGAAGACGAUCAGAUACCGUCCAAGUCUCAACCAUAAAUGAUGCCGACCAGGGAUCAACGGAUGUUGCAUUUAAGAAUCUGCCAGCACCUUAUGAGAAAUCAAAGUUUUUGGGUUUCAGGGGAAGUAUGGUCGCAAGGCUUAAACUUAAAAGAAUUGAUGGAAUGGCACCAACAGGAGUAAAGCCUGCUGCUUAAUUUGACUCAACAUGGGAAAACUUACCAGGUCCAGACAUAGUAAGGAUUGACAGACAGAGAGCUCUUUCUUGAAUCUAUGGAUGGUGGUGCAUGGCCAUUCUUAACUGGUGGAGUGAUUUGUCUGGUCAAUUCCGUUAACGAAUGAGACAUCAUCCUACUAACUAGGUAUGUAGAGGUAUCCCUUCACGGCUAGCUUCUUAAAGGGACUAUGACCUUUUAGGCCGCAGAAGUUUAAGACAAUAAAAGGUUUCUGAUGCCCUUAGAUAUUCUGGGCUGCACGCGCACUACACUGAUGUAUUCAAUGAGUUUAUUGCCUUGAUCGACAGGACCGAGUAAUAUUUUAAAUUUCAUCAUGAUGGGGAUAGAUCAUUGCAAUUGUUGGUCUUCAACGAGGAAUUCCUAGUAAGCGCGAGUCUUCUGCUCUCUUUGACUACGUUUCUGCCUUUUAUAAACAACACUCGUCGCUCUUACCGAUUGAAUGAUCCAAUGAAAUGUUCAGAUGGUGAUGACAUGGGUGGUUUGCAGCUUGCGACAUCGGCAAAAGUCCAUUGAACCUUAUCAUUUAGAUAAAAGAGAAGUCGUAACAAAUUUUUCGUAGGCAAACCUGCGAAAG